rnacentral:rRNA from 1 species
AGAAGUGCCUCGCAAGAGGAAUUCGGAGACAGGUGCUGCAUGGCUGUCGUCAGCUCGUGUCGUGAGAUGUUGGGUUAAGUCCCGCAACGAGCGCAACCCUUGCUUUAGUUGCCAUCAUUAAGUUGGGCACUCUAAAGAGACUGCCGGUGUCAAACCGGAGGAAGGUGGGGAUGACGUCAAGUCCUCAUGGCCUUUAUGACCAGGGCUACACACGUACUACAAUGGCAGGUACAAAGGGCAGCCACUUAGCGAUAAGGCGCGAAUCCCGUAAAACCUGUCUCAGUCCGGAUUGGAGUCUGCAACUCGACUCCAUGAAGUUGGAAUCGCUAGUAAUCGCAGAUCAGCACGCUGCGGUGAAUACGUUCCCGGGCCUU